GACGAACGUUGGCGGCGUGCUUAAUACAUGCAAGUCAACUGAAGCAGUGGUAGCAAUAUCGCUGUGGAGGUGGCGCACGGGUGAGUAACACGUAGGUAAUCUGCCUUCAGGUCUGGCAUAACUCCGGGAAACCGGGGCUAAUAGCAGAUGAUGCAGCGGCUCGACAUCGAGACAGUUGUUAAAGCUAUGGCGCCUGAAGAUGAGCCUGCGUCUGAUUAGCUAGUUGGCGGGGUAACGGCCCACCAAUGCAACGAUCAGUAGCUGGUCUGAGAGGAUGAUCAGCCACACUGGAACUGAGACACGGUCCAGACUCCUACGGGAGGCAGCAGUAAGGAAUAUUGCUCAAUGGGAGAAAUCCUGAAGCAGCAACGCCGCGUGAGGGACGAAGGGCUUUUGCUUGUAAACCUCUGUAGUGAGAGAAAAAAAUCCCAAUCUUUGGGACAUGAUGGUAUCUCAAAAGUAAGCCCCGGCUAACUACGUG
rnacentral:rRNA from 1 species